AGGCAUGGCGUGACUGGAUGACUCAAGUUCCCACUGCUGUAGAUUCCCUGCAGUGACGGAUUGUAUCCUGCAAUUGUGAGAUUGACUCAGCCUAUAGCAAAGAGGUCCCAAGCAAGAGAGCACUUAUGCUGGAAGAGGAGGGAGCACAAGACAACACAUCUGACAACUUGGCUGGAUUAGUUUUGAAAGCAGAGGUUUUCUUGACUUGCUCAUCCUUGAUUGUGAAAACAGGAUUGAAAACGCAACACAAUAAGUGUAUUAUUGAUGGAGUCUAGUUUGCUGGUCGUUUUUUAUCCGCCCCCUGCCCCCCAAUGAAAAUGAAACUGAGAGAAUGUGGAUCUAGGGAAGAGGGAAGGUGGGAGGGGCUAGGAGGAGUGAAGGGAGGGGAAAUUGUAGUCAGGAUGUACUGUACAAGGGAAGACCAUAUUUUUCAAUUGCAAAGAAAAGAAAAGAAAAUAAAGGAAAAUAAAACACAACUUAUAAUGUAACUCCUAAACCGGUGG